GAUGAAGCUAGCGGCGGACGGGUGAGNAACACGUGGGUAACCGGCCCAUAAGACUGGGCAUAACUCCGGGAANCCUGGGCUAAUACCGGAUAACCUUUUGAACCGCAUGGAUCGUAAAUUGAAAGGCGGCUUCUGCUGUCACUUAUGGAUGGACCCGCGUCGCAUUAGCUAGUUGGUGACGUAACAGCUCACCUAGGCAACCAUGCGUAGCCCACCUGAUAGGGGGAUCGGUCACACUGGGACUGAUACACCGUCCAGACUCCUACGGGAGGCAGCAACAUGGAAUCUUCCGCAAUGGACGAAAGUCUGACGGAGCAACGCCGCGCGAGUGAUGAAGGCUUUCUGGUCGUAAAACUCUAUGGUUAUGGAAGAACACCUGCUAGUUGAAUAACUUGGCACCUUAACGGUACCUAACCACAAAGCGACGGCUAACUACGUGCCAGAAACCGCGGGAAUACUUACGUGGCUUGCGAUAUCCGGAAUUAUUGGGCGUAAAGCGCGCGCACGCGGUUUCUUAAUUCUGAUGUGAAACUCCACGGCUCAUCCGCAGAGGGACAUUGUAAACUGGGAGACUUGAGUGCAAAAGACGAAAGUGGAAUUCCAUGUGUAGCGCAGAAAUGCGUACAGAUAUGGACGAACACCCANGUCGAAUGCGACUGUCUGGUUUGUAACUGACACUGACGCGCCAAACCGUGGGGAUCACCCUCGAUUAUAUACCCUGGUAGUAUACNCCGUAAACGAUGAGUGCUAAGUGAUANACGGNUUCCUCUCUUACUGCUGAUGUCCGCUUUAAAUNUCCUCUGGGAGACCGCGCAUGNUGAUCUCAAUGAAUAACG
rnacentral:rRNA from 1 species